rfam:Orchesella cincta Ocin01_Sc0203, whole genome shotgun sequence.
CCAACGGCCUUUUAAAGGCCACCAUAAUUUGCAAAGAGCUCAAAU